AGUAGGCGGUGCUCUACCUGUGCUCUGUGCUCCAGCAUUGUGUCAAUAAUAAGUGGUGCUGUGAAGAGAACAAUUGUCAGACUGAAUGUUGAACAUCAGCUAGUUUCUCCUGCUGAUUUAAACCUUGUUGGACAGAUGGAACAUUGGCUGUGGAUUAUUCUUGCUGCUCUUUUCUUUGAGUGUAAAGGAGACACAGUGAAGCAGCCAGAAGGAGAUGUUGUUGCUGCUGAAGGAGAAUCACUGACUCUGGGAUGUACUUUUAAAGCCAGUGGUGGAGAUGAUACCUUGUUCUGGUACAAACAAGAAGAAAACAGUUCUCCAAAGUACAUGUUGAAAGAAUACUAUAAAUCCAGAGAGAAUGCUCCAGAGUUCAGCAAAGACAGAUUUCAAGCACAGGUCAACAGCUCAACUUUUAAUCUGAAGAUCCAGGAUCUCCAUCUGUCAGACUCUGCUGUGUACUACUGUGCUCUGCAGCCCACAGUGACAGGAAACACCAGAACUCUGAACAAGAACCUGCAGAGUAAAGACAAGACAAUGCUCCACAACGUCCACUAGAAGGCAUCACAGUCUGUAGGCUGUUCAACAGUUCCGGGGUGUUUAAUGACAUAAAUAAGACAUCAGUCAUGGGAACUCUUUGUGGAGAAACCAUUGUUGCAUUUUUGCUAUAAUGAGCUCUGGGCCUUAAAAUAAUAAGAACACCCGUUGAACUCCUGAUUGGUUAAUUUCUGAUUAUCUACUGCAUCUCAUAUCUCAACAUGUUCCUGCUGUGCAACAGAUUCAAUCAGAACCCUAACAUGCAAACUAACAGACACAAUUUAUCCAGAUCCA